rfam:Danio rerio chromosome 4, GRCz11 reference primary assembly.
UAGCUCAGUUGGGGGAGCGUUAGACUGAAGAUCUAAAGGUCCCUGGUUCGAUUCUGGG